GGGUAAAGGCCUACCAAGGCGACGAUCUGUAGCGGGUCUGAGAGGGUGAUCCGCCACACUGGGACUGAGACACGGCCCAGACUCCUACGGGAGGCAGCAGUGGGGAAUAUUGGACAAUGGGGGGAACCCUGAUCCAGCCAUGCCGCGUGUGUGAAGAAGGCCUUUUGGUUGUAAAGCACUUUAAGCGAGGAGGAGGCUACUAGUAUUAAUACUACUGGAUAGUGGACGUUACUCGCAGAAUAAGCACCGGCUAACUCUGUGCCAGCAGCCGCGGUAAUACAGAGGGUGCGAGCGUUAAUCGGAUUUACUGGGCGUAAAGCGUGCGUAGGCGGCUGAUUAAGUCGGAUGUGAAAUCCCUGAGCUUAACUUAGGAAUUGCAUUCGAUACUGGUCAGCUAGAGUAUGGGAGAGGAUGGUAGAAUUCCAGGUGUAGCGGUGAAAUGCGUAGAGAUCUGGAGGAAUACCGAUGGCGAAGGCAGCCAUCUGGCCUAAUACUGACGCUGAGGUACGAAAGCAUGGGGAGCAAACAGGAUUAGAUACCCUGGUAGUCCAUGCCGUAAACGAUGUCUACUAGCCGUUGGGGCCUUUGAGGCUUUAGUGGCGCAGCUAACGCGAUAAGUAGACCGC
rnacentral:rRNA from 1 species